UGGCGAACGGGUGAGUAACACGUGGGUGAUCUGCCUUGCACUCUGGGAUAAGCUUGGGAAACUGGGUCUAAUACCGAAUAUGACCACUUCUUGGAUGGGGUGGUGGAAAGCUUUUGCGGUAUGGGAUGAGCUCGCGGCCUAUCAGCUUGUUGGUGGGGUAAUGGCCUACCAAGGCGUCGACGGGUAGCCGGCCUGAGAGGGUGGACGGCCACAUUGGGACUGAGAUACGGCCCAG
rnacentral:rRNA from 1 species